ensembl:lncRNA
GGACCAUGUGCUUUAGGAGAGCAAACUUCCUGCUGCUCAAGGAACUGCUGAGUGAGAUCCCCGAGGAAGCUGUCCUUAUGGGCAUGGGUGCAGAACAGAGCUGGCAGCUCUGGAAGGACACCUUUCUGAGAGCACAACUGCUCUCCCUCCUCCAAAAGAAGAAGUCGAGCAGGGGAGGCAGGCGACUGUUGUGGCUGUGCAAGGACCUGCAGCUAAAACUGAGAGAAAAGGGGGAAUUGUGUAGCAGGUGGAAGCAGGGUAGUGUGUCCUGGGAGGAAUAGAGGGCUAUUGUCCGUGUGUGUAGAGAUAGGAUUAGGAAAGCCAAGGCGCUGGUGGAGCUGAACUUGGCAAGGGAUGUGGAAGAUAACAAGAAGGGGUUCUACAGGUACAUAGGCAGGAGGAGACAUUCCAAGGAGAGUGUUCCCCCUCUGACGAGAGGCAAUGGGGAGCUGGCUUCUUCAGACACAGAAAAAGCUGAGGUACUCAAUGAGUGCUUUGCCUCAGUCUUCACGGGUGGUCAGGCUUCCCGUGUCUGCCAGGACCACGAGCCUCUAGGUUAGGGUGUGGGAGUGGUUUCUGUCCCACUGUAACGGUAAAACAAGUCCGAGUCCUCCUCAUGAAAUUGAACGUGUGUAAGUCCAUGGGGCCAGAUGAUAUCCAUCCUAGGUAAAGGGCAAAAUCGGGUCCCCGCAGUAUAGAAAGAAGGGCUUCAUAGCAAGAAAAGAGAAAGCAGCUUCACAAGGUAGACAUAAGGGGCAAAUAGAGAUAGUUUAUGUAGAGAGUAUUAGAAAACAAGAAAUUCCAAGCACUUUCACAGGCGCUAGGUCCGGAAUAACAAGGAGAAUGAAGGCCAUAAAGAUAAGGACUGGAGAACAGCUCGAACACAAUUGGCAGACAGGUGAUUA